GAAUUGUAUGUGAGAGUUGGAGGGAAUUAAACCAAAGUAAUGAAGUAUCGCAUUGACAUUAUAAUUAUGCCUCUAUAUUUUGGUUUAAUUUCCUCCAAUAUCUCACCUCCAAUUC
rnacentral:pre_miRNA from 1 species